AAAGAGAAACAAGUUAAUUUAAGUUAAAAGAGCUAGCCAGGCAUUCAAAACUAAUAAGUCUCUGUGUCAUGAUUUGGAACUGGUGGGUGGCCCCAAGGAAAGAAGCCUGGUACACCUUCCCUCCAAUCAACUCCUGCCCCCACCCUGUGCUCUGGAGGCUCCUGCCAUUGUCCAGGAUGUGAGUCACGCCAUUGUCUAGAAUGUCCAUGCUGUGUACACUGCUCGCCAUCUAGUCACCUAGUAGCUGACAGUGGAGACUGCCACAGUGCCACAGUGCUUGUGUUCAGGAGACCACUGAUGUCAUAGUCCAACACUGCCGCAAUGCUUACGCUGUGUGCCUCUCUACAACUCACCGUACAGGCAUGACGUCAGCCGGUAUCUCAGAAGGUGGAAAGGGAGUUCAUGGGUUAUUUAGAAUUCUGGCAUGGUGUCUCCUGAGGUUUCCAUGGUGGUCUGUCAUGGCUGGAAGAACCUGAAGAUGAAGGUGGUACCUGCAGACCCUUGGCAGCACCCCACCUCCACACCACCCCUCCCCGACAUACACCGGAAAAGCUUGGAGCCAAUGCCAGCUUGUCUCUCUUCGUCUGCUCCCGGGAGAGCCAUGUCCUCGCUCAUCUGGAACUUUCAAUUAACCAGGCACCAGGCUCCAGCUCAGAGGCUGAACAAAUGUUCCAGGGAGGGGAGAAAAAUCCAGCCCCAAAGCACUGGGAGGACAUUUCCUUUUAAUUAAAGUGAGAAUUAAGGCAGCUCUGAAACCCAUUCUGUGCUAUCCACCAUGGCCUAAAAGUGGUUUCCAAGAAUCGCCACCCUGCCCUGUUGACUUACCUCAUCACUGCCCUAACUGAGCACAACCCGGGAUGUGAUGAUGCAGCUCUAUGAGAGCCCCAGGGUGAGGGCAAGAAACGUGUGGGAACUAGAGGGCAAGCAAGAUCGGAAGUGGACAGAGGCUACAAUCUUGGAUUUGGACAAAGAAACUUGAUCCUCAGACACUGUUAUAAUUGGGCUCAAUGGUCAUCACCAUCUAAUCAAAGUUAUUUUCCAGUUGCAGAGGCAACACAUCCCCAGUAAUGCAGCACUAACCAGUAUUCACACACCAUACAUUAUCCUUUGUGAUGGAAAAGAUACAAAAUAGAGUUUACCAAAGCUCCUUGUCUGAAGGAUCUACACCCAAAGUCAUGCAUGUCUGUGAAAUCAUACAUGUUCUAUGCACUCCAACUCAGUACAAAACAAAUGUCAGUCAACAGCAUGGCAUUAAAGGGGCCUAGCAUUCUUUUACCUACAUAGAAAACAUCAAAACAAGAUGAAAACUACUAGAAUCAAGUAGAAUAUACACAAAAAGGACAUGGAUUAGAGAGAUGCAAGCCUGAGUACCUGAGUUUGAUUCCCCAGGACCCACAUGUAAAAGCUGGACAUAGCAUUUGUCUGAAGUACCAGUUCUGGGUGGGUAGAGACUGGCACAUCCCUAGGGCAUGCUAGCCAGCCAAUCUAGCUGAACCUAAAAACUCCAGGUUCAGUGAGAGACCAUGUCUCAAAGAAUAAAAUGGAAAACAGUUGAGGAAGACCAGGCCUCCAGAUGUACACACUUACGUAUAUGCAGCCGCCUGAAUAAACACCCACACAUAAAUGCAGGAAAGUAGGAAGGUGUGGGGAACUUAAUGAAUAUGCAUCGUUAUUUGGCUUUGUGAUGUUUACAGUGUUUGCUGUUUUUAAAUCUCAAAACAUUGUGAUUUUUAAAACAAAUUCUAAAUAUUC